CAACCAAACACAACAACAACCAACCCAACCCAUACCCAACCCAACCCACAUCCAACAACUCAAUCCAGGGUUCAUUACCACUAUUGGCCGCGCCACCAACUCUAUUGCUACUCAGCACACAGGCCAACUUUCAGAAAGUCUAUUUGCUAUGGAUGCAAUGCAAUCUGGGAUUACUUGUAUGUAACACUUGUGCCUUUGGAGUACUGGUAUUUGUAGACCACAACACUGCUAUGAUAUCACUUAUAGGUUUGGCUGCCUCUCUGAGCCUGCUCCUAAUAUUCAUUGGAUUAUGCUUCACACAUGAAU